rnacentral:rRNA from 1 species
ACUCAGUGAAAUUGAACUCGCUGUGAAGAUGCAGUGUACCCGCGGCAAGACGGAAAGACCCCGUGAACCUUUACUAUAGCUUGACACUGAACAUUGAGCCUUGAUGUGUAGGAUAGGUGGGAGGCUUUGAAGUGUGGACGCCAGUCUGCAUGGAGCCGACCUUGAAAUACCACCCUUUAAUGUUUGAUGUUCUAACGUGGACCCGUGAUCCGGGUUGCGGACAGUGUCUGGUGGGUAGUUUGACUGGGGCGGUCUCCUCCUAAAGAGUAACGGAGGAGCACGAAGGUUGGCUAAUCCUGGUCGGACAUCAGGAGGUUAGUGCAAUGGCAUAAGC